GAGGGGAGGUUUGAAACAACAAGAACUGCUAAUUCCUGUAUCUGAGCCUAAAAUCUCAGCCCCCUUA
rnacentral:tRNA from 1 species